UACGUAGGGGGCAAGCGUUGUCCGGAUUUACUGGGCGUAAAGAGCGUGUAGGCGGCCACGCAGGUCCGUUGUGAAAACUGGAGGCUCAACUUCCAGCCGUCGACGGAAACCGUGUGGCUAGAGUCCGGAAGAGGAGAGUGGAAUUCCUGGUGUAGCGGUGGAAUGCGCAGAUAUCAGGAGGAACACCGACGGCGAAGGCAGCUCGCUGGGACGGUACUGACGCUGAGGCGCGAAAGCGUGGGGAGCGAACAGG
rnacentral:rRNA from 1 species